rnacentral:rRNA from 1 species
UACAGAGGGUGCGAGCGUUAAUCGGAAUUACUGGGCGUAAAGCGUGCGUAGACGGUAGCGUAAGUCAGAUGUGAAAGCCCCGGGCUCAACCUGGGAAUUGCAUUUGAGACUGCUCUGCUCGGGUGCGGAAGAGGGAAGCGGAAUUUCCGGUGUAGCGGUGAAAUGCGUAGAUAUCGGAAGGAACACCAGUGGCGAAAGCGGCUUCCUGGUCCGACACCGACGUUCAGGCUCGAAAGCGUGGGGAGCAAACAGG